rnacentral:rRNA from 1 species
UACGUAGGGGGCAAGCGUUGUCCGGAUUUAUUGGGCGUAAAGAGCGUGUAGGCGGUUAUACAGGUCCGCUGUGAAAACUGGAGGCUUAACCUCCAGACGCCGAUGGAAACCAUGUGGCUAGAGUCCGGAAGAGGAGAGUGGAAUUCCUGGUGUAGCGGUGAAAUGCGCAGAUAUCAGGAAGAACACCCGUGGCGUAAGGCGGCUCUCUGGACGGUACUGACGCUGAGCACGAGAACGUGGGGAGCGAACAGG